CAGGUCAUCUAAAGUGUAUGGACUUCCUGCUCUCUUCUACAGGUCAUCUAAAGUGAAUGGACUUCCUGCUCUCUUCUACAGGUCAUCUAAAGUGUAUGGACUUCCUGCUCUCUUCUACAGGUCAUCUAAAGUGUAUGGACUUCCUGCUCUCUUCUACAGGUCAUCUAAAGUGUAUGGACUUCCUGCUCUCUUCUUCUACUACAGGUCAUCUAAAGUGUAUGGACUUCCUGCUCUCUUCUACUACAGGUCAUCUAAAGUGUAUGGACUUCCUGCUCUCUUCUACAGGUCAUCUAAAGUGUAUGGACUUCCUGCUCUCUUCUUCAGGUCAUCUAAAGUGUAUGGACUUCCUGCUCUCUUCUACAGGUCAUCUAAAGUGUAUGGACUUACUGCUCUCUUCUACAGGUCAUCUAAAGUGUAUGGACUUCCUGCUCUCUUCUUCUACUACAGGUCAUCUAAAGUGUAUGGACUUCCUGCUCUCUUCUACUACAUGUCAUCUAAAGUGUAUGGACUUCCUGCUCUCUUCUUCUACUACAGGUCAUCUAAAGUGUAUGGACUUCCUGCUCUCUUCUUCUACUACAGGUCAUCUAAAGUGUAUGGACUUCCUGCUCUCUUCUACUACAUGUCAUCUAAAGUGUAUGGACUUCCUGCUCUCUUCUUCUACUACAGGUCAUCUAAAGUGUAUGGACUUCCUGCUCUCUUCUACUACAGGUCAUCUAAAGUGUAUGGACUUCCUGCUCUCUUCUUCUUCUACAGGUCAUCUAAAGUGUAUGGACUUCCUGCUGUCUUGCCAUUGACUGCAUUGUUGUUGUUGUUUCCACCAGCAGGACAACAUGAGUGGAGAGACAUGAUUGCACAUGAUUGCUGGAUGAAAUCGAACAAAGUUUACACUGUCUAACCAAGGACAAUUUACGAUACCUGUGUGAACGCUGUGGAAUCGAUGGCUCCCAAGUUAAAGGAAAGAACCAUUGCGUAUUGCAACGUAAAAUCUUGGAGGAAAUGUGGGUAAAUGCAAAUUCGGUCAAAUCGGAGGAGCAUGUAAUGUCUUGGUUACUCCAACUGAAAGAUGACACCAGGAGGAUACAGGAAGAAUCUACUGUGGCACCCAUGAGUCCCAGCCAGUCUGAUGAUGAUGCUACAGACUGCGAUGAAGAAUGGGACAUGGAAAACAAGGAUCGGUGUCUUAGCAACGGGCUGGAGGCGGAGUCAGCUCCAGAGAACCACACCCCAGAGCAGAGGCAGAGGGGUGACAUGUCUCUCCCAGCCGCCUCCCCUCUCCCCGAGUCCCCAGGUCCUGCCUCUCCCGCUGGCACAUUACUACUGGGUUUGAAGAGGGUGUCUGUGCGGCUGGUUGACUGCAGGAAAACACUGGGACUGAGUGGAACUACGAGAGGAGGAGAAGAGAAGGGAUAUGGAGAUUCAGAUUCGAUGUCAUCAAGUAGGAACAAUGGGGACAACCCUAACGGUCGCUCGCUCAGUGGGAGGGUCUUAUCAUCUGGGAAGGCUCCAGGGUUGAAAGUGAUCCAGCGACCUUACAGCUGUGACGUAUGUGAGAAGAGUUUCACUCAAUCAGGAAACCUACGAAGACACCAAACAGUACACACAGGAGAGCGACCAUAUGUCUGUCCUGUAUGCGGAAAGAGUUUCCUUAUGUCAGGAACACUGUCUAGACACAAGAGAACACACACAGGAGAGAAAUCCUACGGCUGUCCUAUAUGUGGAAAGCGUUUCCGUACGUCAGGACAAUUGACUGUACACAAGCGAACGCACACUGGAGAGAAACCUUAUAGCUGCGAUCAAUGUGGGAAGCGUUUUACUCAAGCUUGUUCCCUGACUGAACACAAGCGAACACACACUGGCGUGAUGUUCCACUGCUCAGACUGUGAGAAGAGCUUCGCUACAUCGGUGAAGUUGAAACGGCACCAGCAAACGCACACAGGAGAGAAGCCUUAUCGCUGUGAUCAAUGUGGGAAGAGUUUUGCGAGCUUAUUCCCUGACUGAACACAAGCUAACACACACAGGAGAGAAACCAUAUGUCUGCGAUCAAUGUGGGAAGAGAUUUACUAACUCGGGAACACUGACUUUACAUCAGCCGACACACACUGGAGAGAAUCCUCGUAGCUGUGCUAUAUACAGUUGUAAGCACUGUGAGUGGAGUUUUUGCUCAUUCAGAAGACCUAGCAAGACACCACCAGAGAAAACACAUGUGGGAGGGUAUUCAUGUCUGUGAUCAAUGUGGGAAGAGUUUUGCUAGUUCUGGAGACCUGAUUAUACACAAGCGCAUACACACAUGUGAGAAACAAUAUGUCUGUGAUCAGUGUGGAAAGAGUUUUGCUAGUUCGGGAAACCUGAAUAUACACAAGCGUAUCCACACCGGAGAGAAACCAUAUGUCUGUGAUCAAUGUGGGAAGAACUUUGCCUCAUCUGGAUUCCUGACUAAACACAAGCAUAUCCACACCGGAGAGAAACCUUACAGUUGUGAACGGUGCGAGAAGAGAUGCGUUUCCAAAGGAGAGUUGAGGACGCACCAGCUUGUACACCCCAGAGAGAACUCUCUCUUCCUGUGUGAUCGAUGUGGGAAGAGCUUCACACACAUGGGAUCCCUGAAUGUACACAUGCGUAGGCACACAGGAGAGAAACCCUACCGCUGCGAUCAAUGUGGGAAGAGCUUUAUUCAGCCAGUAGAAUUGAAAAUGCACCAACGAGUGCACACUGGAGAGAAACCCUACAGCUGUGAUCUAUGCAGGAAGAGAUUCGCUCAGUCAGGACUGCUGACUGUACACAAGAGAACACACACUGGAGAGAAACGUUAUAAAUGUGAUAUAUGUGGGAAAAGAUUCGCUCAGUCAGGAAACCUGAAGAGUCAUCAGAAAACCCACACAGGCAGAAAGAGAACCCGCACAGGCGCAGAGAAAAUCCCCACAGGCGAAGAGAGAAGUCAAACAGACAGACUGAAUCACCACCACACCUCCAUCCUCUCAGGCAUCUGUUCUCAUGAUCCCUCUGUGGAUUCUGGGUAAACAUCACAGGAUCCUUGUAUUGACUCUGGGUAAACAUCACAGGAUCCCCUCUGUAGACUCUGGGUAAACAUCACAGGAUCCCCUCUGUAGACUCUGGGUAAACAUCACAGGAUCCCCUCUGUAGACUCUGGGUAAACAUCACAGGAUCCCCUCUGUAGACUCUGGGUAAACAUCACAGGAUCCCCUCUGUAGACUCUGGGUAAACAUCACAGGAUCCCUGUAUUGACUCUGGGUAAACAUCACAGGAUCCCCUCUGUAGACUCUGGGUAAACAUCACAGGAUCCCUGUAUUGACUCUGGGUAAACAUCACAGGAUCCCUCUGUAGACUCUGGGUAAACAUCACAGGAUCCCCUCUGUAGACUCUGGGUAAACAUCACAGGAUCCCUGUAUUGACUCUGGGUAAACAUCACAGGAUCCCCUCUGUAGACUCUGGGUAAACAUCACAGGAUCCCCUCUGUAGACUCUGGGUAAACAUCACAGGAUCCUUGUAUUGACUCUGGGUAAACAUCACAGGAUCCCUGUAUUGACUCUGGGUAAACAUCACAGGAUCCCUGUAUUGACUCUGGGUAAACAUCACACGAUCCCCUCUGUCGACUCUGGGUAAAAUAGCCCACUCUGUAUUCCAUAUACAGUGUACAUUGAAGGUGGCAGAGUAUGAAGUGCUGCUGGAUAUGUACGACACCAAGUAAUAUUGGUUAGUAUUUUGUUACAAUACGAAUAUCCGCAAGUGAUUUUAAUGUGCGUUUGUGUCUGACCACGUCCACCGGGAAUUCUUAUUGGUCAAUAGUGGCCAUGGUUUUAAAUUUACUAGCCUAGAAUAUAUUGCCUUACGAGACUUUUGUCCAUAGAGGGACACCAUUAUCAAGUUUCCUGCAGAUCAGGUCAUUCGGUUGCAGAGGAGUAACGGUUGUAAAGUGUUUUUUUUCCAUUUUUUUUUCUCCAUACAAUUCAAAAUGGCAGAAAAUUCAUCAAGGCGGCACUUCUGGUUCUGAGGCAAAUGUGUUCCUUGUGAGGAGAAGGAUCUAUAUAUAUAUAUCUAUAUAUCUAUAUAUCUAUAUUCUGCAUUUCAUGACUUUAGGUCAAAACGGGGGUGAAGAGAGCGCGACCUUUUCAAAGUUUGCAUUUUCAUUCUCUUGUUAUAGCGCCACCAUCUGGUCAAAUCAGUGUGUGUGAUCUCUAAAAAGGGCAGGAUGCAUCAUUCAUCCAAGUUUUGUCAAAAUCGGGCCAGUAGUGUCAGAUAAUUGCGUGUGACAAACCUAAAAAUGUACAAACGGGAUAAACAGAUAAACAUGGUGCUUUCAAGAUAACUGGGAACUCUGGGAGGGGGGGGGACAAGGUCAAUAUAUUCCAGAUGAGGUCAUGACAUUGGUGAUCUGUAACGGCUGAACCGUGAUGCAAUAGGGGUGUGUUCCUACCCUUAGACGCUGCUGACUACUGAGAGCUCUUACAACGCCUGGAUAGGUAUUUCACCUAUCAGCUAACCUACUGACAGCUCUUACAACGCCUGGAUAGGUAUUUCACCUAUCAGCUAACCUACUGACAACUCUUACAACGCCUGGAUAGGUAUUUCACCUAUCAGCUAACCUACUGACAGCUCUUACAAUGCCUGGAUAGGUAUUUCACCUAUCAGCUAACCUACUGACAGCUCUUACAAUGCCUGGAUAGGUAUUUCACCUAUCAGCUAACCUACUGACAGCUCUUACAAUGCCUGGAUAGGUAUUUCACCUAUCAGCUAACCUACUGACAGCUCUUACAAUGCCUGGAUAGGUAUUUCACCCAUCAGCUAACCUACUGACAGCUCUUACAACGCCUGGAUAGGUAUUUCACCUAUCAGCUAACCUACUGACAGCUCUUACAACGCCUGGAUAGGUAUUUCACCUAUCAGCUAACCUACUGACAGCUCUUACAACGCCUGGAUAGGUAUUUCACCUAUCAGCUAACCUACUGACAGCUCUUACAACGCCUGGAUAGGUAUUUCACCUAUCAGCUAACCUACUGACAAUGCCUGGAUAGGUAUUUCACCUAUCAGCUAACCUACUGACAGCUCUUACAAUGCCUGGAUAGGUAUUUAACCUAUCAGCUAACCUACUGACAGCUCUUACAAUGCCUGGAUAGGUAUUUCACCCAUCAGCUAACCUACUGACAGCUCUUACAACGCCUG